GACUCUCGGCAAUGGAUGUCUCGGCUCUCACAUCAAUGAAGAACUUAGCAAAAUGCGAUACUUGGUGUGAAUUGCAGAAUCCCGUGAACCAUCGAGUCUUUGAACGCAAGUUGCACCCCAAGCCUUCUGGCCGAGGGCACGUGUGCCUGGGUGUCA
rnacentral:rRNA from 1 species